rnacentral:rRNA from 1 species
GAUGAACGCUGGCGGCGUGCCUAAUACAUGCAAGUCGAGCGAACAGACGAGGAGCUUGCUCCUCUGACGUUAGCGGCGGACGGGUGAGUAACACGUGGAUAACCUACCUAUAAGACUGGGAUAACUUCGGGAAACCGGAGCUAAUACCGGAUAAUAUAUUGAACCGCAUGGUUCAAUAGUGAAAGACGGUUUUGCUGUCACUUCUAGCUGGAUCCGCGCCGCAUUAGCUAGUUGGGAAGGUAACGACUUACCAAGGCAACGAUGCGUAGCCGACCUGAGAGGGGGAUCGCCCACAUGGGAACUGAGACACGGUCCAUACGCCUACGAGAGGCAGCAGUCGGGAAUCUUCCGCAAUGGGCGAAAGCCUGACGGAGCAACGCCGCGUGAGUGAUGAAGGUCUUCGGAUCGUAAAACUCUGUUAUUAGGGAAGAACAAAUGUGUAAGUAACUAUGCACGUCUUGACGGUACCUGAUCAGAAAGCCACGGCUAACUACGUG